rnacentral:rRNA from 1 species
CACCGGCCGCCCGAGUGGUGGCCACUAUUAUUGGGUCUAAAGCGUCCGUAGCCGGCUUGGCAAGUCCCCUGGGAAAUCUGGCGGCUUAACCGUCAGGCGUCCAGAGGAUACUGCCAGGCUUGGGACCGGGAGAGGUGAGAGGUACCUCAGGGGUAGGGGUGAAAUCUUGUGAUCCCUGAGGGACCACCAGUGGCGAAGGCGUCUCACUAGAACGGGUCCGACGGUCAGGGACGAAAGCUGGGGGCACGAACCGG